rnacentral:rRNA from 1 species
GAUGAACGCUGGCGGCGUGCCUAAUACAUGCAAGUCGAGCGAACAGACGAGGAGCUUGCUCCUCUGACGUUAGCGGCGGACGUGUGAGUAACACGUGGAUAACCUACCUAUAAGACUGGGAUAACUUCGGGAAACCGGAGCUAAUACCGGAUAAUAUAUUGAACCGCAUGGUUCAAUAGUGAAAGACGGUUUUGCUGUCACUUAUAGAUGGAUCCGCGCCGCAUUAGCUAGUUGGUAAGGUAACGGCUAACAAGGCAACGAUGCGUAGCCGACCUGAGAGGGUGAUAGGCCACACUGGAACUGAGACACGGUCCAGACUCCUACGGGAGGCAGCAGUAGGGAAUCUUCCGAAAUGGGCGAGAGCCUGACGGAGCAACGCCGCGUGAGUGAUGAAGGUCUUCGGAUCGUAAAACUCUGUUAUUAGGGAAGAACAAAUGUGUAAGUAACUAUGCACGUCUUGACGGUACCUAAUCAGAAAGCCACGGCUAACUACGUG